CUGCUUACAUGACAUCUUGAAACGUUUAAUGUCUAAUUUUGCAGACAACACAGUCUAUGCUUACACAGGAAAAGAAAAGAUCAUUUGCAUUU